rnacentral:lncRNA from 1 species
AGGCAGAAGAGGACAGAAGAGGAGGCGAAGAUGAAGUAAAGUGGAACAGAUUGAGAAAGAGAAGGAGAAUGAGAAGGAGGAACAGAAACAAAGCAAAGCCCCGAGCAUAAUGUUAAUGUUAUGUUAAAACCUAAAUUUAAUGCAAAUUAUUAACGCAGAAAAGAACGAAAGAGAAAAGGAAAAAACAAAAAAAAAAAAAGCAAAAAAACAAAGCAAAAGCGAAAGCGAAACUGUUUAAACUAUACCAAUAUAAUAUAUAAUCAUUAUGAAUAUAAACUAUAUAUUUUUUUUUUUUUUCAACACACACAUUAUGUAUACAUACAUACUGAAUAAAUAAAUUAUUUUUAUUUUUAUUAUAUAUCGUAUCGUAUAUCGUAUAUAUUUUUUUUCGCGCUAAAAUAUAUAUGUACAGAUACCAUUAUUUAGCCAGUAGAUGAGUUAUACGGACACAUACGGACAUACAGAACGGAGGAGGAAGAGAGCGCAGGCGUGGAGCUGGCGCCUGAGAACCGGCGGAUUAGUUGCAAUAUGUAGAUAAGGUCCAAAUAACCGGGUUCCCGCCACCGUAGAGCUCCAUUAUUAUUAUUCGCAUAGAUAGUCAGUGUCGUCCUGCCUCGCCCCCAAAAAGCUCCUUCCCCGCUCCCCCGCUCGCCACAAUUUCCGCACAGAGCUGCUACUGAAUAUUAUUAACAAUUUCUUGCUCAGAGUGGCAAGGGAAGAAGAAGAAAAGAAAAAAAA